rnacentral:rRNA from 1 species
GACGAACGCUGGCGGCGUGCUUAACACAUGCAAGUCGAACGGAAAGGCCCUGCUUUUGUGGGGUGCUCGAGUGGCGAACGGGUGAGUAACACGUGAGUAACCUGCCCUUGACUUUGGGAUAACUUCAGGAAACUGGGGCUCAUACCGGAUAGGAGCUCCUGCUGCAUGGUGGGGGUUGGAAAGAUUCGGCGGUUGGGGAUGGACUCGCGGCUUAUCAGCUUGUUGGUGGGGUUGUGGCUUACGAAGGCUUUGAAGGGUAGCCGGCCUGAGAGGGUGACCGGCGACAUGGGGACUGAGGGACGCACCAGACGCCUACGGUAGGCAGCAGGGGAAAAUCUUACGCAGUGGGCGGAAGCCUGAUGCAACAGCGCCGCGUGCGUGAUGCCGGCUUUCGGGUGGUAAACCGCUUUCGCCUGUGACGAAGCGUGAGUGACGGUAAUGGGUAAGGAAGCACCGGCUAACUACGUG